CUUCAAUCUUCAGCCGCCGCCGUUCCUCAUCGCAAACCCUUUCCGUCGCAACUCACGAAAUCACAACCCUCAAGACCCUCCACCGCUCUCCUCCGCGAUCCUUUUCCUCCACCGCCAAACCCUUAAAGCCAAAACCCAUUUCGCACCGUUGACGCCAUCACUGUUCUUCCUUUCAGAAUAGCCAGCCCAAAUCUCCUUUGCGACAACAACGAUGCAUCAUCUUCAUAUUAACCCUUUUUGAUGUUUUCA
rnacentral:lncRNA from 1 species